rnacentral:rRNA from 1 species
AUUGAACGCUGGCGGCAGGCCUAACACAUGCAAGUCGAGCGGAUGAAGGGAGCUUGCUCCUGGAUUCAGCGGCGGACGGGUGAGUAAUGCCUAGGAAUCUGCCUGGUAGUGGGGGAUAACGUCCGGAAACGGGCGCUAAUACCGCAUACGUCCUGAGGGAGAAAGUGGGGGAUCUUCGGACCUCACGCUAUCAGAUGAGCCUAGGUCGGAUUAGCUAGUUGGUGGGGUAAAGGCCUACCAAGGCGACGAUCCGUAACUGGUCUGAGAGGAUGAUCAGUCACACUGGAACUGAGACACGGUCCAGACUCCUACGGGAGGCAGCAGUGGGGAAUAUUGGACAAUGGGCGGAAGCCUGAUCCAGCCAUGCCGCGUGUGUGAAGAAGGUCUUCGGAUUGGAAAGCACUUUUAGUUGGGAGGAAGGGCAGUAAGUUAAUACCUUGCUGUUUUGACGUUACCAACAGAAUAAGCACCGGCUAACUUCGUG